ACAUGGGAAAGGAGGUGGUCCUGAAGUGAUUUCUCUUCGGACGCGUGAGGUGACUGUCCGCUAGUCGCCCGAGUACUCGGACGGAUUGCUUCGAUCCACCGGUGCCCGCUGGUCCUCGAGGACCGCCGGGCGGCGAGCGAGAUCCAGGCAGCCACCGCAGCCCGUGGGAGCCGCGCACUCGUCCAGCGCGGCAGGGCCCCGACAAGGGGUCCGGCCCACGGGCUGUUCCCU
rnacentral:sRNA from 1 species